GUGUCAGCAGCCGCGGUAAUACGGAGGAUGCAAGCGUUAUCCGGAAUCAUUGGGCGUAAAGAGUCCGUAGGUGGCACUUCAAGUCUGCUUUCAAAGGCCGAAGCUCAACUUCGGAAAGGGAGUGGAAACUGAAGAGCUAGAGUAUAGUAGGGGUAGAGGGAAUUCCUAGUGUAGCGGUGAAAUGCGUAGAGAUUAGGAAGAACACCAGUGGCGAAGGCGCUCUACUGGGCAUAUACUGACACUGAGGGACGAAAGCUAGGGGAGCGAAAGGGAUUAGAUACCCCUGUAGUCCUAGCGGUAAACGAUGGAUACUAGGCGUAGUGCUGCUAGAAGGACUGUGCCGAAGCUAACGCGUUAAGUAUCCCGCCUGGGGAGUACGCACGCAAGUGUGAAACUCAAAUGAAUUGGCGGGG
rnacentral:rRNA from 1 species